rnacentral:rRNA from 1 species
CGGGGUGCAGCAGGCGCGAAAACUUUACAAUGCGGGAAACCGUGAUAAGGGGACACCGAGUGCCAGCAUCAUAUGCUGGCUGUCCAGGUGUGUAAAAUACACCUGUUAGCAAGGGCCGGGCAAGACCGGUGCCAGCCGCCGCGGUAACACCGGCGGCCCGAGUGGUGAUCGUGAUUAUUGGGUCUAAAGGGUCCGUAGCCGGUUUGGUCAGUCCUCCGGGAAAUCUGACGGCUCAACCGUUAGGCUUUCGGGGGAUACUGCCAGGCUUGGAACCGGGAGAGGUAAGAGGUACUACAGGGGUAGGAGUGAAAUCUUGUAAUCCCUGUGAGACCACCUGUGGCGAAGGCGUCUUACCAGAACGGGUUCGACGGUGAGGGACGAAAGCUGGGGGCACGAACCGGAUUAGAUACCCGGGUAGUCCCAGCCGUAAACGAUGCUCGCUAGGUGUCAGGCAUGGCGCGACCGUGUCUGGUGCCGCAGGGAAGCCGUGAAGCGAGCCACCUGGGAAGUACGGCCGCAAGGCUGAAACUUAAAGGAAUUGGCGGGGGAGCACAAGGGCGAAUCGCG